rnacentral:rRNA from 1 species
UCCUACGGGGCGCAGCAGUCGAGAAUCAUUCCCAAUGGGGGAAACCCUGAUGGUGCAACGCCGCGUGGGGGAAUGAAGGUCUUCGGAUCGUAAACCCCUGUCAUGUGGGAGCAAAUUAAAAAGAUAGUACCACAAGAGGAAGAGACGGCUAACUCUGUGCCAGCAGCCGCGGUAAUACAGAGGUCUCAAGCGUUGUUCGGAAUCACUGGGCGUAAAGCGUGCGUAGGCUGUUUCGUAAGUCGUGUGUGAAAGGCGCGGGCUCAACCCGCGGACGGCACAUGAUACUGCGAGACUAGAGUAAUGGG